CGGUUCAAUAGUACAGUGGUUCUGGAGC
rnacentral:piRNA from 1 species